UGAGCCCUGACUGCUCUCCAGCUAGUGAUGUUACCACCCAUUUGUGAUUCCUAAGACAGAACAGAGGAGCAAGCCAAGCCUUAACACCUGCCUUGCAUUAACAAGCAUGGACCUGGCCUGUCAGGUACAGUCCAUCCAGGGAUGGGCCGCUCCCCUUCGUCUUGGAUCCUGCCUGAGGCCAGGGUGAGUCCUGUAAAGAUUCAGAACCCUCUUGAUCCACACAGACCAAGCGGCCAGGCCUGCCAGUGUUGGACCGCAGACCUCCUUCAUCCAGCGAGCAAAUCAAUGCAAACGCAAGGUAUUAGCUCUUCAAUCUUCCCAACAACUUAGUGAAAAAGGUGUUGUGAUUAUCGGCUUUCCUGAAUGCCCGAAUCUGCAGAGCUGCUGCACGAGGGAGUCUUUGUUCAGAGUCAGACAGUGACUCCAAGAGCCUGGGGUCUCUCACCACAGUGCUGCCCUGCCUCCAGCCCUGGCCAGCGAUUGGGUCCUCCAUUCCUCAGACACUAGCCCAAGCAGCAAGGAUGAAGUCGCCUGUGGUUGUGGCUUUAGGAACAUAGGACCGACAUGAAGGACAUAGAAGGUCCACUUGGCAGGGCCAUGGAACAGCCCGGCAGUUGGCAUCAACCUGCAAAACAAACAUCACAUUUAAAGUUGAUUGGACCUUGGAAUCAUUGAGGGCUGAAGGAGAAGAGAUUCACUCAAAGUGACAAGUUAAAGACAACUGUGAGUCAAUCUGUUGGUUCCAAAUCCUCUUUCCAGCUUGUCUUCCUUCCUUUGGCUUCCAUGUAUCUAACCACAGUCAGGGCUUAGAGGUUGAUGACAUGUGCCCACUUGAAAUAAAA